AUUUUUAACUUCAUCUACAUUAUUUUAAAUGACUUAAUUGCUUGUUCAUAAUUCUAAAAAUAUUUCUGCAUUAAAGAGAGAGAGAGAGAGAGAGAGAGCGAGAGAGAUAGAGAAGUAUUCAUCUCAAUUUUAAACUUCAUCUACAUUGUUGUAAAUGACUUGCUUGUUCAUAAUUCUAAAAUUAUUUUUGCAUUAAAAAGAGUAUCAUUUAAAUACCGUAGACCGUUAAUCGUAAUACAUUUUUUGAACACGCCUGUACUUUGGAAAACCCCAUUUCGAACAAGCAUAGCAUUCGGUAAAAAUAUUGGUGAGUAACCGAACUGAUUUAUUCAUGUACAUUUAUCCUACAUGUACGCUAACACUAUUUUCAGUAUAUCCGAAUCCUACAUAUAUAUUGUCAUUAAAAUUGAAGUAAUGAUUAAAAAAUACUUGUUUUCAUUCAACGAAGAAAUCCGGCCCGGCACUUGGCAUUCUCUCACCAGAGGGCGCGCUACGCAAGCUUCACUUUGUUGUGGAGCGUAGCGUAACGCCCUCUGGUGAGAGAUUGGGCACUUGGGUAUAACUUGGUUUAUCAUAUCUUGAUGUACAUAUGGGACGUAAUCACGAAAACAUCGUUAUGGAAAUACUUUUAAAUUUAAUUUAUAUAGGUUUGAUUUAUAAAGAGAGGUUUAUUUUAAUUAGUACUUACAAUAAUUGCUUUCUAGGGAUCACAGUUGAUGUGCUUCGUCCGUAAUUCGUCCUUGUUGGGGAUAUCCACUCGUUGUAAUGGAGGGGGGGGGGAUUCAUAAUCUCAUUCUGACAUUAUUUCUGAUGGCAUAGAAAUUGUUUUCCUCUUUCUGAAUAACCCACAUCUUUCUUGAUUCUUUUCUCCAAAAAUAACUGUCGCGAACACCGUAAUGUGCAUACCGCAUAUUACAUCAUUUUAUUUUAAAGUGAUAUAAAAAUCCGCGAAAGACACGCUGAUGAGUUAACCGUUAUGUAACGUUAUUAUGCACAAUGAAAAGGGUGCAUAUUAUACGAUUUUAAUUGUUACUGACGAUUAACAUUUAAAAAAAUAUAUGCAAAGUUAGGGAGCUGCACUUAUUGGUACAGCCCUAUAAGACGGAGUUUUCGGCCAGAGACUUAUGGAUGUCUUAAUGGGUAAGGAAAAUCCCGAGUUAUACAUUGUUCUUGUACGAUAUGUUAUACUUUUUUAUUAUAAAAAAAAUUCUCACUCAUGUUAUACACACAUUUUUUAAAAAGCCAACUUUUUAUCAUUUAAUCUACAGUGGGGUACAGUGUGAGUUGUUGUAGAUUUAUUUUAUAGCAGAUAAUCUGGCUUAUAGUGUUACAAUAUUAGACCAGAUGUAGUAGAAUCAUGUAAAAUAUGUUGAAAUGGAUGUGAUACAAUGUGUAUUGUAUAAACAGAUGAAAUGGAGCCAUACUCAGAUAUCGAGAUUGAUGAAGAAACCGUUGAGAUAGAACCCUAUCCAAAUGAUGAAGUAGAAUAUUUAGAUUCUGAUGGCAUCAGGUUGACAAGCCAUCACUCAACUGCACUCUGGAGAACAAUAUGUCCCAAAUAUUGCACAUUUAAACUUUCAAGUGAAAACUGUAUGGAAGUUAGGAGAAAUGAACCAAAGAAUCAGAAAGAUCAUACUCAGUGGCUACUAGACUAUUUCUUUGAACAUGCAACACAGGACACAGUUUACCAUCUCAUUUGUGGAAAGGAAGGCUGCAUGAAUUGUUGGAUGUACUGUUACAGUAUCAUCACAUUCACUUAACACCUCGCCAUGUAAUGAACAUAAAUAAGUAUACACUGGUGGGUACAUCAACCCUAAAAGGAGGAAGACGAGUUGCUGAUCAAGUGGAAUAAAUAAACAUCAACUUCCCUACAUAUUGCAGUCUUCAGCUUGUGUAUUAUAUUUCGGAAUGAAUCUUCCAUUUUGGAAUUUAGGGGGAUGGGAGGGUUUUGGUUGAUUUACUUUUGAGAUGAUCAUCAUUACUGCAUCUUACCAACUCUGAUGUCCAAUAAGACAUAGAUCGAUUUUGAAGUGGCCCAAUUCAGGCAUUGACUGAUUAUAAAGUCAACCAAUAAAGACAUUGACCGACUCUGAUGCCGUCCAAUGCAAAAAUAAGACUUAUUUUGAAGUGGCCCAAUGCAGGCAUCGGCCUACUAGAAAGUC